AUUGAACGCUAGCGGGAUGCUUUACACAUGCAAGUCGAACGGCAGCGCGGACUUCGGUCUGGCGGCGAGUGGCGAACGGGUGAGUACUGUAUCGGAACGUGCCCAGUAGCGGGGGAUAACUACGCGAAAGCGUAGCUAAUACCGCAUACGCCCUACGGGGGAAAGCAGGGGAUCGUAAGACCUUGCACUAUUUGAGCGGCCGAUAUCGGAUUAGCUAGUUGGUGAGGUAACGGCUCACCAAGGCGACGAUCCGUAGCUGGUAUCAGAGGACGACCAGCCACACUGGCACUGAGACACGGCCCAGACUCCUACGGGAGGCAGCAGUGGGGAAUCUUGGACAAAGGGGGCAACCCUGAUCCAGCCAUCCCGCGUGUACGAUGAAGGCCUUCGGGUGGUAAAGCACUGUUGGCAGGAAAGAAACGUCGCGGGCUAAUACCCCGUGGAACUGACGGUACCUGCAGAAUAAGCACCGGCUAACUACGUG
rnacentral:rRNA from 1 species